AGACUGUGCCAGCAUGACUCCGCUGUGAGCUCCACCAAAUAUGAGAUAAAGAACCAAUAUCUCCUCCACACCUCCAGCAACCGUUUGGGAUAGCGGGAUUAAG